UCGCACUUCGUACCCCGAAAAUUUAACCACAUAUGUAAAAAUGUCUCAGCUUCGAAACAAGCCAUCAUACAUUUACAAGUUUACGAUAUGGGCUGAGCAACAGAAGAAAACGUUACCAUUACGGCCUAUGGAGAAACAAUUGCGCAUAUUGCCCCAUCUUGUAAGGAAGGAUCCAGAGAUAUCUUUAGCUAAUUUCACCUUGUACACCACAGAAAAUUGUUAAAAUGAUGGUUAGUAGUUUUUUAUUUAUACCUAGUUAUCAUAAAUGAUUUCAGAUAAAUAUUAUUGAUAAAGAACAGCAAAAAUUCAAUAAAAUUUUCACUUUUAAAUGCAUUACUUGCACGGGGCUGAACACUUUUUUUAGGCACAAUCAUAACUUUGUUUACCCCUGAGAGAUCCGAAAUGAAUUGUUUAUUCAAUUGAAAAAGGCAAGAAAAAACUUACAUGUAAUACAAAUAAAUUUUCCAGACAUAUCAUUACUUUUUAAUAUGAGAUGACAAACUAAAGGUUUUAAAAAGUCCUGAAUAACUGAAAUGGACAAAAAUACAGAUUUAUUCAGAAUGUCAUACCGAUGAAGAUCACCUAAAAAUAUUUGGAAAAAUCAGAACUAUGGAUUUCAAUAUGGGACAAUACCCCUAAUGCACCUUGAAAUGAGGAACACAAAAGUCACGUGUAAACAAAAAAUCUCUGUGUAGUGAUAUUUGACACAUUUCUAUGAUAAACAAAUGACUGAGCUGAACCAUUAGUGUUAAUUUGGAAAGUUAGGGAACACAGAAUAAAUGUGUAAAAACCAUGGAGCUAUGAAAUGUGUUCAGAGUAUUAAAAUUUCAAAGAACUUAUUGUGUUAAAAUUGGGAUUUUUUACCAUGAGAAGGGACAUCGCAAAAGGAUACUCGGGGUUUGCUAAAUUACGGAAAAAUGAAUCACACUUUGUACCCCGAAAAUUUAACCACAUAUGUAAAAAUGUCUCAGCUUCGAAACAAGCCAUCAUACAUAUACAAGUUUACGAUAUGGGCUGAGCAACAGAAGAAAACGUUACCAUUACGGCCUAUGGAGAAACAAUUGCGCAUAUUGCCCCAGAUGAACCAUGCCAGGCAGUUAACAAUUCUUCCAUACAACAAAUAUAAUUGACCUAUUGCUUAACAGUUUAAGACGGACCAAAACACAUAAACUUAACACUAAGCAAUGAACAAUAAAAAUAAAGUCAAUGUCAAAUAAAACCUGGGCGACUGACAUAUAGAUCAUAUAAAAUUUCCAUAUGUACAUCAAAUAUAGUUGACUA